GACAGAGGCCUCGAGCGUUAGGCGGAAUCACUGGGCUUAAAGCGUGUGUAGGCGGGCCCGUAAGUGUCUUGUGAAAUCCCACGGCUCAACCGUGGAACUGCUGGGCAUACUGCGGGUCUUGGGCCAACUAGGGGCAGCUGGAACAAGCGGUGGAGCGGUGAAAUGCGUAGAUAUCGCUUGGAACGCCGAAGGUGAAAACAGGCUGCUGGGGUUGCGCCGACGCUGAGACACGAAAGCCAGGGGAGCAAACGGG
rnacentral:rRNA from 1 species